rnacentral:siRNA from 1 species
UAAUCCACUGGUCCACCUG